AUGGCUGUGUCAGGCACACUGCAGCGUGGCUGCAUCCACAGUCUGUGCUGGGUGUGUGUGGCAGUUUGUGACCAGGAUGUGUCUGUGUUUGCAGGUGUCCAGUGUGAGGUGCAGCUGGUGGAGUCUGGGGGAGGCUUGGUCCAGCCUGGGGGGUCCCUGAGACUCUCCUGUGCAGCCUCUGGAUUCACCUUCAGCAGCUAUGGGAUGCACUGGGUCCGCCAGGCUCCAGGGAAGGGGCUGGAGUGGGUUGCAUAUAUAAGGAGUGAUGGAAGUAACCAAUACUAUGCCGACGCCGUGAAGGGCCGAUUCACCAUCUCCAGAGACAACGGCAAGAACACGCUGUCUCUGCAAAUGAACAGUCUGAGAGCCGAGGACACGGCCCUGUACUACUGUGCAAGAGACACAGUGAUCUCUGAGUUAGAUAUGUUUGUGCACACGGUGAACCGCACGCCGCUGUUCACCUCAGCUGGGGCUCCUGACUAG